rnacentral:rRNA from 1 species
UACGUAGGGUGCGAGCGUUAAUCGGAAUUACUGGGCGUAAAGUGUGCGCAGGUGGCCGCGCAAGUCGAGUGUGAAAUCCCCGGGCUUAACCUGGGAACUGCAUUUGUGACUGCAUAGCUAGAGUACGGUAGAGGGGGAUGGAAUUCCGCGUGUAGCAGUGAAAUGCGUAGAUAUGCGGAGGAACACCGAUGGCGAAGGCAAUCCCCUGGACCUGUACUGACGCUCAUGCACGAAAGCGUGGGGAGCAAACAGG